CCUACGGGAGGCAGCAGUGAGGAAUAUUGGUCAAUGGUCGGGAGACUGAACCAGCCAAGCCGCGUGAGGGAGGAAGGUACAGAGUAUCGUAAACCUCUUUUGUCAGGGAACAAAGGCGGGGACGUGUCCCCGGAUGAGUGUACCUGAAGAAAAAGCAUCGGCUAACUCCGUGCCAGCAGCCGCGGUAAUACGGAGGAUGCGAGCGUUAUCCGGAUUUAUUGGGUUUAAAGGGUGGGCGGGCGGUCGGUUAGGUCAGCGGUAAAAGCCCGGGGCCAAACCCCGGCCCGCCGUUGAAACUGGCAGUCUCGAGUUGGAGAGAGGUAUGCGGAAUGCGCGGUGUAGCGGUGAAAUGCAUAGAGAUCGCGCAGAACUCCGAUUGCGAAGGCAGCAUGCCGGCUCCACACUGACGCUGAGGCACGAAAGCGUGGGUAUCGAACAGGAUUAGAUACCCCAGUAGUC
rnacentral:rRNA from 1 species